UAAGGAAUAUUGGUCAAUGGACGAAAGUCUGAACCAGCCAUGCCGCGUGGAGGAUGAAGGCCCUCUGGGUUGUAAACUUCUUUUAUAUGGGACGAAAAAGGAUCUUUCCAGAUCAACUGACGGUACCAUGUGAAUAAGCACCGGCUAACUCCGUGCCAGCAGCCGCGGUAAUACGGAGGGUGCAAGCGUUAUCCGGAUUCACUGGGUUUAAAGGGAGCGUAGGUGGACUAGUAAGUCAGUGGUGAAAUCUCUGGGCUUAACCCGGAAACUGCCAUUGAUACUAUUAGUCUUGAAUAUUGUGGAGGUUAGCGGAAUAUGUCAUGUAGCGGUGAAAUGCUUAGAUAUGACAUAGAACACCAAUUGCGAAGGCAGCUGGCUACACAUAUAUUGACACUGAGGCUCGAAAGCGUGGGGAUCAAACA
rnacentral:rRNA from 1 species